UACGUAGGGUGCGAGCGUUGUCCGGAAUUAUUGGGCGUAAAGGGCUCGUAGGCGGUCUGUCGCGUCGGGAGUGAAAACUCAGGGCUUAACCCUGAGCCUGCUUCCGAUACGGGCAGACUAGAGGUAUGCAGGGGAGAACGGAAUUCCUGGUGUAGCGGUGAAAUGCGCAGGAUAAUCAGGAGGAACACCGGUGGCGAAGGCGGGUCUCUGGGCCGAAACUGACGCUGAGGAGCGAAAGCGUGGGGAGCAAACAGG
rnacentral:rRNA from 1 species